rnacentral:piRNA from 1 species
UCCCUCAUCUGCACUGCAGAGAAAGCUGGA